GAUGAACGCUGGCGGCGUGCCUAAUACAUGCAAGUCGAGCGAACCACUUCGGUGGUGAGCGGCGAACGGGUGAGUAACACGUAGGUGAUCUGCCCAUCAGACGGGGACAACGAUUGGAAACGAUCGCUAAUACCGGAUAGGACGAAAGUUUAAAGGUGCUUCUGGCACCGCUGAUGGAUGAGCCUGCGGCGCAUUAGCUAGUUGGUAGGGUAAAGGCCUACCAAGGCGACGAUGCGUAGCCGACCUGAGAGGGUGAACGGCCACACUGGGACUGAGACACGGCCCAGACUCCUACGGGAGGCAGCAGUAGGGAAUCUUCGGCAAUGGGCGAAAGCCUGACCGAGCAACGCCGCGUGAAUGAUGAAGGCCUUCGGGUUGUAAAAUUCUGUUAUAAGGGAAGAACGACUUUAGUAGGAAAUGGCUAGAGUGUGACGGUACCUUAUGAGAAAGCCACGGCUAACUACGUGCCAGCAGCCGCAGUAAAAC
rnacentral:rRNA from 1 species